rnacentral:rRNA from 1 species
CCUACGGGAGGCAGCAGUAGGGAAUUUUCGGCAAUGGGGGGAACCCUGACCGAGCAACGCCGCGUGAACGAAGAAGUUAUUCGUAAUGUAAAGUUCUUUUAACAGGGAAGAAAGAGAAAUUUGACGGUACCUGAAGAAUAAGCUCUGGCUAACUACGUGCCAGCAGCCGCGGUAAUACGUAGGGAGCGAGCGUUAUCCGGAAUUAUUGGGCGAAAAGGGUGGGUAGAUGGCAUAGUAAGUCUUUGGUAAAAAUGCUGGGCCCAACCCAGUAGGGAAAAAGAUACUGCAAAGCUAGAGUAUGACAGAGGCAAGUGGAACUACAUGUGUAGCAGUAAAAUGCGUAAAUAUAUGUAAGAACACCAGUGGCGAAGGCGGCUUGCUGGGUCGAUACUGACAUUGAGGCACGAAAGCGUGGGGAGCAAACAGGAUUAGAUACCCGGGUAGUC